rnacentral:rRNA from 1 species
AGUGAACGCUGGCGGUAGGCCUAACACAUGCAAGUCGAACGGCAGCACAGUAAGCGCUUGCUCUUACGGGUGGCGAGUGGCGGACGGGUGAGGAAUACAUCGGAAUCUACUUUUUCGUGGGGGAUAACGUAGGGAAACUUACGCUAAUACCGCAUACGACCUACGGGUGAAAGCAGGGGAUCUUCGGACCUUUCGCGAUUGAAUGAGCCGAUGUCGGAUUAGCUAGUUGGCGGGGUAAAGGCCCACCAAGGCGACGAUCCGUAGCUGAUCUGAGAGGGUGAUCGGCCACACUGGAACUGAGACACGGUCCAGACUCCUACGGGAGGCAGCAGUGGGGAAUCUUGGACAAUGGGCGCAAGCCUGAUCCAGCCAUACCGCGUGGGUGAAGAAGGCCUUCGGAUUGUAAAACCCUGUUGUUAGGAAAGAAAAACAGCAGGUUAAUACCCCGCUGUUCUGACGGUACCCAAAGAAUAAGCACCGGCUAACUUCGUG